rnacentral:rRNA from 1 species
UACAGAGGGUGCAAGCGUUAAUCGGAAUUACUGGGCGUAAAGCGUGCGUAGACGGUUAUGUAAGUCGGGUGUGAAAGCCCCGGGCUCAACCUGGGAAUGCCAUUCGAGACUGCAUAGCUAGGGUGCGGAAGAGGGAAGCGGAAUUUCCGGUGUAGCGGUGAAAUGCGUAGAUAUCGGAAGGAACACCAGUGGCGAAAGCGGCGAUCUGGGAAGAUACUGACGCUGAGGUGCGAAAGCGUGGGGAGCAAACAGG